UACGGAGGGUGCAAGCGUUGUCCGGAAUCACUGGGCGUAAAGGGCGCGUAGGCGGACAGUUUAGUCAGAGGUGAAAGCCCAGGGCUCAACCUUGGAAUUGCCUUUGAUACUGGCUGUCUUGAGUUCGGGAGAGGUGAGUGGAAUGCCGAGUGUAGAGGUGAAAUUCGUAGAUAUUCGGCGGAACACCAGUGGCGAAGGCGACUCACUGGCCCGAUACUGACGCUGAGGCGCGAAAGCGUGGGGAGCAAACAGG
rnacentral:rRNA from 1 species